rnacentral:misc_RNA from 1 species
AGAUACCCCAAUAUGCCUAGCCGUAAAAAAUUUAAUUACACCCACUCGCGCCAGGGUAUUACGAGCGCAAGCUUAAAAUCCAAAGGACUUGACGGUGUCCCACCCACCUAGAGGAGCCUGUUCUAUAAUCGAUAAUCCUCGUUAUACCUCACCAUUUCUUGCUUAUCAGCCUGUAUACCUCCGUCGUAAGCUUACCGUAUGAAUGCCAAACAGUAAGUUCAAUGGCUAUUUACCGCCAAUACGUCAGGUCAAGGUGCAGCCAAUGAAGUGGAAAGCAAUGGGCUACAAUUUCUAAUUUAGAACAAACGGAAUACUACAUGAAACAUAGUCAUGAAGGCGGAUUUAGUAGUAAAAGGAAACUAGAGUAUUCCUUUUAACAAGGCUCUGGGACGUGUACAAACCGCCCGUCACCCUCUUCGAUAGUAAAUAAACUGUUCUUAACAUCAUCUAAGCGUCUUAGAAGAGGCAAGUCGUAACAUGGUAAGUGUACUGGAAAGUGCACUUGGAUUAACAAAAUGUAGCUUAGAAAAGCCAUUCGCUUACACCGAGAAGUCAUCUGUUAAACCCGGAUCAUUUUGAGCACAAAAUCUAGCCUUUACACUCCUAAUGUUAACUUAAACCCAAUUAAACUAUAAUAAAACAUUUUACCUAUUUAGUAAAGGAGAUUGAAAAAUAAAUAAGCGCUUCAGAUAAAGUACCGCAAGGGAAAAAUGAAAUAUUAAUGAAAUAAAAUUUAAGCUUUAAAAAGCAGAGACUUAAGCUCGUACCUUUUGCAUCAUGGUCUAGCAAGUCUAAUCAAGCAAAAUGAACUUUUAGUUUGACCUCCCGAAACUGAGUGAGCUACUUCGAAACAGCUAUAAGAGCUAACCCGUCUCUGUAGCAAAAGAGUGGGAUGAUUUCCAAGUAGAGGUGACAAGCCUACCGAACUUAGAGAUAGCUGGUUGUUUAAGAAAAGAAUAUUAGUUCUGCCUUAAGUCUCCCGGAUAAUUUUAAAUCCACCCUAGACUUAAGAGUUAUUUAAAUAAGGCACAGCUUAUUUAAAACAGGAUACAACCUAAAACACUGGGUAUUACUUAAAAACAUGUGACAAGUAGGCCUAAAAGCAGCCACCUUUUAAAAAGCGUUAAAGCUUUGUACAAAUACAAAAUUAAUGUCAAUAAAAAUUUUUAACCCUUUAGUAGUAUUAAACAACUCCAUAAACUUAUGGAAGAUAUUAUGCUAGAACUAGUAACAAGAAAUUGAUUUUCUCCAAAAUGUAAGCUUAAGCCACAAUUGACAUCCUAUCGGCAAUUAACACUAAUGAAUUAACUAUAGCAACACACCAAGAAAACACUAUCUCCUUUAGUGUCAACCUUACACUAGAACAUUUAUGGAAAGAUUAAAAGGGAAAGAAGGAACUCGGCAAAUUUUAACCCCGCCUGUUUACCAAAAACACCGCCUCUUGCUUAAAUAUAAGAGGUCUAGCCUGCCCAGUGAAACUAUUCAACGGCCGCGGUACCCUAACCGUGCGAAGGUAGCAUAAUCACUUGUUCUUUAAAUGGGGACUCGUAUCAACGGCAUCACGAGGGUUAUACUGUCUCCUUUCCCCAAUCAGUGAAACUGAUCUCUCCGUGAAGAAGCGGAGAUAAACUUAUAAGACGAGAAGACCCCAUGGAGCUUUAAACCCAGCAACUACACCUGUCUAAAUAUACCCCUAGAAAUAACAGAACCCUACUUGCCUGGUUUUAGGUUGGGGUGACCGCGGAGCACAAAUUAACCUCCACGAUGAAUGGGCUAACCCCCUUACCCAAGAGCCACACCUCUAAGAAUUAGUAAUCUAUCAUUAACUGAUCCGAUCAUCGAUCAACGAACCAAGUUACCCUGGGGAUAACAGCGCAAUCCACUUUAAGAGCCCCUAUCGACAAGUGGGUUUACGACCUCGAUGUUGGAUCAGGGUAUCCCAGUGGUGCAGCAGCUACUGAAGGUUCGU